rnacentral:rRNA from 1 species
GAGUUUGAUCAUGGCUCAGGAUGAACGCUAGCGGCAGGCUUAACACAUGCAAGUCGAGGGGUAGUUACUUUCGGGUAAUGAGACCGGCGCACGGGUGCGUAACGCGUAUGCAAUCUACCUUUUACAGGGGAAUAGCCCAGAGAAAUUUGGAUUAAUGCCCCAUGGUAUUAUAGAGUGGCAUCACUUUAUAAUUAAAGUUCCAACGGUAAAAGAUGAGCAUGCGUCCCAUUAGUUAGUUGGUAAGGUAACGGCUUACCAAGACGAUGAUGGGUAGGGGUCCUGAGAGGGAGAUCCCCCACACUGGUACUGAGACACGGACCAGACUCCUACGGGAGGCAGCAGUGAGGAAUAUUGGACAAUGGGCGCAAGCCUGAUCCAGCCAUGCCGCGUGCAGGAAGAGGCAUCUAUGGUGUGUAAACUGCUUUUAUACAGGAAGAAACACUCCCUCGUGAGGGAGCUUGGCGGUACUGUAAGAAUAAGGACCGGCUAACUCCGUGCCAGCAGCCGCGGUAAUACGGAGGGUCCAAGCGUUAUCCGGAAUCAUUGGGUUUAAAGGGUCCGUAGGCGGUUUAAUAAGUCAGUGGUGAAAUCUGGUCGCUCAACGAUCAAACGGCCAUUGAUACUGUUAGACUUGAAUUAUAAGGAAGUAA